GAAAUGGUUGCAGUGACUUUGACCAAGAUCAAUGGGGCUUUUGAAGUUUCUGGUAUGGUUCAAAUGCGGGAACAAAUAGGUUAAAAUAAUUUGAAUAAGGGCACUCAGACCAGAGGCAAGUUUGAUAUGAGACUAAGUUUUGUCAGCCGGAACACUAUAUCCAGUGGCUGUUGCUUCAGCUCUAUACUCACACUUCAUUUACAGCUGCUGAGACUCUAUUGGCUUCUGCUGCAAAUGCUGCAGCACAUCAGACGGCUGUUUCACUUUGUCAUACUCACUAUCAGAUCAUUUCCGAUUUGACUUCUAUUUCCUCUGUCGAGCAUCAUUAUCUUCUGUAUCAAAUGUGUUGUUCAUGGUUCAGUGAAAGAAGUUUCUUUUUUGUUUUUUUUUAGGGCAUGAGUCUGGACCUGGAAAUAUGCUGGAAUUCAGCUUUUAGAAUUAAUACUGUUUGCUUAACUUGUUGGACCUUAGGUGAUGAUGAUUCAAUGGAAAAAAGAGGUAUUAAGUAACAAGGUUUUCAUGCAUGCAAGUAAGAUUACACAAACACAUUUAUGAAGGGAGAGAGAAGGUUUGCAGAGAGGGAGGCCGGAAGCGAGGGAUUUACAGAGAUUAAGGCAACGAUGUCUCCCUGCCAAAAUCUAUGCUUGCUGCUUUUGGUUUCUCUUCUCCAGGCCUUCCUCGAUCGGUUUCAGUUAAUUGAUUCUCAUGGAAGCUGCAACUGAUGUCAUUAGAAGCUCAUUCAAAUCCAACUGCUGCAGACAGACAGACAGACCUUGAACAUAUAUAGAGGCAAUUGGUCUGCCCACGGAGGUCAAAAUUCAUCUAUUGAAGUCAUAGAUUAAUAAGUUUAAAAUUUUUGGACAGAGUUAGAAAAUUCUUAAUGUUGCAUUUGACUUUUUGUCUAACUUGAUUUCUUCCUUCUUGUCUCUUUUUUCCUUUCUUUUCUUCUUUAAGCGGUCUAUUUGCUGGUUAGGUUUUCAUGUCUGCUUGAAAAUAAUUUAGCUGGAUGUCCACAAGUUGGGGAAUCACCUAGUCAAUCCUAGACUGUAAUUACAAAACUAAAUGGCUUCUCAUUAAACAUCUUGAUUUAAAUUACUAGCUUGUGCUUGCAACCUUAUUGGACAUAUUACCUUGUAGGCAAACUUUGGAGUGAGUUUGGCUAAAAAUCUCUUCUUACAAGUGAAAGUGCUAUUAUAGUUGUUGUUGCAAGUUGCAACAGUCAAGGUUAUGGAGGAUACGACAAUGAAUGAUGGUUGGCUAUAACAUAGUUCCACAAAAUUGGAUGCUAAACCUGAAAUUAUUCCAAUUGAAGCUGGUACCGUCUUGUUUGAUAGGGCACAGUUUGCAAGAAACAGGACUGGUGGUCAUUGCAGUAGAAUCCCAAGAAGCUGAAAUUGGCUUGGUGGAGAUUAAAGAAACUGAUGAUUUGGAGAAGGUCCAUGAAGAACUCAAACUUCUCCAGGAACAAAUCUACAAUAGUAUAGCAAUGAGAUCAAGGCGUCAAACAGAACGAAAAGCCAAAACAACAAAAGCAGCAGAGAAGGCUGCAGUGAAUGUUGUAUCUGUUAGAACAUUUGCUAGCUUAUUUCUUCUAAGGGUUUUGGUUCAAAGCAAAAAUUUUAUCAAAUCUUUUUUUUUU